UGCAUGUCAGGGUUCCGGCUGCCGAGUAGAAAUGCAAACUCUCGCCACAACAAACUUGAGAAGAGACGAGGUGGAGCGGAUCUCUUUGUAGUCUGAAAAAGAGUCAAGUAUUUAAGACAACCCUCUACAGGCAUUGUAAGAGGAAUUUCCAGCGAUUUCCAGAGGUUAUGGAGGGAUGGAAGUUGGAAAGGACAAAGACUCCAUAGAAACAGUCAGCAUUGUCCAGGGCAUCCUUCAGAGCUGGGUUGUCAUGGAGACGAAGGUCUUUUCUGAACCAGUGGCAGGAAGUGUGCCUUGCAGCAUCCAUACUAAUAGCAGGACACUAGAACAAAGAAGAUUUAGAUUUAUAUCUAGAAAUUACAGAAAAAAACAUGUGCUACUGUUUCUAUAAAUAAAUAAAUAAAUUCACA